CUUCUUUCACAGCUAAAGAAACAGGCUCAGAGAAUGUUAUUUGAUUGGACCGUGUUGCAUUUCUGGACAGUGCAGCUGAGAUCAGACUUUGUGUGUAACUCCACUAGCCUACCAGGGUGCCUCUCAUAAAGCAUUCCUUUCAGCUACGAUACAAAAGAAGCAAAUAUUUGCCACUGGAAAAAAUAUUCAAAGACACUCUUAGGUUAAUCUAUAGCUGAUGACAGUCAGUCUAGUCUACAUAGCAAGCAGCUUCAAGAUAUGAUUACUUAGCUAAGCGGGAAAUGGGACGUGACUGCUGCCUCAUUCCCACGCCUCUCUGGACCUGAUAAUUUAGAGGAAGCUCACAUUCGCAAGAUAAAAAUUUUCUUUUCCUUCUCAGUAUUAAAUAUGCUGUCACAAUAGAAGAAAGCUUUACUGACUUCUUAAAUGACGUGUUGAGACCGGAACCCUAAAAUGAUAGUUACUGAGGAUAGUGCUAAUGCCCUAAGACCGGAAACCUAAAAUGAUAGUUACUGAGAAUAGUGCUAAUGCCCUAAGACCGGAAACCUAAAAUGAUAGUUACUGAGAAUAGUGCUAAUGCCCUAAGACCGGAACCCUAAAAUGAUAGUUACUGAGAAUACUGCUAAUGCCCUAAGGUUUUAGUCACACCCUCACCUAGGCAGGAACCCAACCAAAAGGGGAGAACUGUGGAACAAACUACGGGAGGUCAUUGUUUCGGUCACCACUCCCGCAUUAGGCCACACUGAGCAGGCAAAACCAGAAUGGAGACACUCACGCUGAAUGACACACAACGAAGCUGAAACUUUAAGGAAGUAGACAGAUCCCAAAAGAUCUCCCUUUUUCCCUGAAGAGAUUCCAGUCUACCUGAGUCAGCAUAAAGAAGUCCCCUCUGCUUUAAUUCUUACCAAAACAAGUAACUUGAAGUAAUCUGAUGUUAACAAAUCAGUUGUUAUUUUCUAUUGCUCUAUUUCCGCCUUACACAACACAGUGUUCUGCUAUUGCCCAGAGGGCACUGAGACCAAAUAAAACUUGAAAAUGCCACACUGAAAGCAAAUAAGUACUAAUAACUCAAUUUACAACGAUAACAAAGAGUGAUACCAAUGCCCAAAGUUUUGAUCAAUAUCUCAAAAUUGAGAGGCUGACCAAAAGGGAGGAAUUCUUACAUCAAACAACAUUUGGGCUCUAGAAGCCUCCCAAGGAGUCCUUGUAAAGAGUCGCGGCCGGGCGCCGUGGCUCACGCCUGUAAUCCCGGCACUUUGGGAGGCCGAGACGGGUGGAUCAUGAGGUCAGGAAAUCGAGACCAUCAUGGCUUACAAGGUGAAACCCAGUCUCUA
rnacentral:lncRNA from 1 species